UUUUGUUCGGCGUAUGACUGAAAGUAAGACUACCUUCAAUUAAGAAGUUGUUGUCUUCUAGAAGCAUGUUUGAGCAAGAAUAGUAUAAAUAAUCUUGUGGCACACAUGCCACACAGGAGGUACACAAUGGUAGAAGGUAAAGUAAAAUGGUUCAACUCUGAAAAAGGUUUUGGAUUUAUCGAAGUAGAAGGUCAAGAAGAUGUAUUCGUUCACUUCUCUGCUAUUCAAGGUGAUGGUUUCAAAACAUUAGAAGAAGGUCAAACUGUUACUUUUGAAAUUGAAGAAGGCGCUCGUGGUCCACAAGCUGCUAACGUUCAAAAACAAUAAUUUAUCAAAAGACUCCUAAUUAGGAGUCUUUUUUUA
rnacentral:other from 1 species